GACACAUUUUCGAAUUCUUGAAAUGUCUUCUGGAUAAACUCGACAGCAUCCACCUAUUAUUGAGGCACCUAAGCCUAUCCAUUCAGAAACGCCAGAUCUCGGAAAUGGGUGGUGCAAUUUAAGCCAAAUUUUGUGUGCUCUCUUAUAGUAACCUAAAAUCAAAAUUUCGGAUGGGGUACCUAGGGAGGCCGCCCGAAAUCUAACCAAAAAUAUAUAUAGACCAAUCACGACAAUAUGGGACUCAAAUGAAAGGUAUUUAAGAUUAGAGAA